AAACGACGACUCGGUUACUGAGUACCAUAGAGAUGUUCUGAUCUGACCUCGCUCUGACCCCUGGUUCAUUGCGCUGUUGGUGGUAGGACGCUGAGGAGACUAACUGUGGACAAUCAGCACCAUGAUCAACCAAUAAACAACAGAUCACAGAGGACGUUCCUUCUGUUUCAGGCCACAGACUCCUGGUUGGUUCCUCAGACAGUUCUGAUUCAUCAUGAGAUCCAGGAACUGUGUUAGUUCCAGUCUGAGUUCCUGUUGGAGGUCAUUAACCUCUUCAUUAGCCUUUAUCAUGGUGCCUGUUGCCGCUAAACUCCCGCAAUGCUCUCUACUUUAACCUCCUCUGGUCUCUACAAGAUUAAACAGGACAUCUUAGAAACUCGCUUUCAAAGCAAAUAGUUACUCUGGAUGGCAUCACGUUGGCCUCCAGUACUACUGUGAGGAAUCUUGGAGUUAUUUUUGACCAGGACAUGUCCUUUAACUCACACAUAAAGCAAGUCUGUAGGACUUCCUUUUUUCACCUGCGUAAUAUUGUAAAAAUCAGGAACAUUCUGUCUCAGAGUGAUGCAGAAAAAUUAGUUCAUGCUUUUGUUACUUCCAGGCUUGACUAUUGCAAUUCCUUAUUAUCGGGUUGUCCAAAUAGUUCUCUGAAACAUCUACAUCUGAUCCAAAACACUGCAGCCAGAGUACUGACAGGAGGGAGAGAGAGAUAUUUCUCCUGUACCGGUUUCUCUUCACUGGCUUCCUGUUAAAUCCAGAAUAGAAUUUAAAAUCCUUCUUCUGACAUAUAAAGCUCUUAGUAACCAAUCUCCAUCAUAUCUUAAAGAUCUGAUAGUACCUUAUUAUCCUAGUAGAACUCUUCGCUCUCAAGCUGCAGGCUUACUUGUUGUUCCUAGAAUUUCUAAAAGUAGAAUGGGAGGCAGAGCCUUCAGUUAUCAGCUCCUCUCCUGUGGAACCUGCUCCCAGUUUGGGUUCUGGAGGCAGACACCCUCUCUAUUUUUAAGACCAGGCUUAAAACGUUCCUUUUUGACAAAUCUUAUAGUUGGGGCUGACUGGGUGACCCACAGGGGUUCGGCUUGUGUCUUCAUUGCACAGCUGACUCCCUCUUGGACGUCCCUUCGUUCUGCCCCUAGUCAUGCUGCUAUAGGCCUAUAGGCUGCUGGGGGACUUUUCUUGACGCACUGAGCCCUUCUCUAUCUACCUUUACAUUUAAUAUGUAUACCGUUAUUGCAGUACAUUCACUCUGUUUCCCCCUGUGCUAUUUCUCCGAGUGUCCCUGGUCCCAGAGCUGGAUGCUUCAGAUCUGCGGUCGAUGUUCCACCAGCUGGUCCAGUCUCCAUCAUGUCCACUGUGGGAUGCUGCUGCUGACCUUCCACCAGCCCUCUGCUUCCAACUCCCUUUUUCCACCAGUCAACUCUGCAUCGCCUUCACUAUACUGUUAUGCUAACUUACAUACUGUUUGAAUUUUACUGCUAGCUAUAUAUGGAGUAUGUUUAAUGUCAGAGCCGUACAUCAUCAGAGUAAACUAUGAGUCAGUUUUCAAUGUUAGCUUAUACUUUGUCUGUGUCACAUAUCCUGUCAUACAUGUAUCCAAAUGUGUGUUGUGUUUUCAUUGCUUUCCCACCCCUCCCUCUUCUCCCAUCCCUCCCCCUUGCCCUCCUCUGUCCUUCUCAACCCCCCCGGCCAGCAGGCAGAUGGGUCCCCCCUAUAUAGAGCCGGGUUCUGCUCGAGGUUUCUUCCCUGUUAAAAGGGUGUUUUCCUGCCACUGUCUCCUUUGGGCUUGCUCUGGGGGUCAGGCAUUUGGGUUCUGUAAAGCGUCUUGAGACGAUUUGACUGUAAUUGACGCUAUAUAAAUAAAAUUGAAUUGAAUUGAA